GGGUUGUGAGGUUAAGCGACUAAGCGUACACGGUGGAUGCCCUGGCAGUCAGAGGCGAUGAAGGACGUGCUAAUCUGCGAUAAGCGUCGGUAAGGUGAUAUGAACCGUUAUAACCGGCGAUUUCCGAAUGGGGAAACCCAGUGUGAUUCGUCACACUAUCAUUAACUGAAUCCAUAGGUUAAUGAGGCGAACCGGGGGAACUGAAACAUCUAAGUACCCCGAGGAAAAGAAAUCAACCGAGAUUCCCCCAGUAGCGGCGAGCGAACGGGGAGCAGCCCAGAGCCUGAAUCAGUGAGUGUGUUAGUGGAAGCGUCUGGAAAGGCGCGCGAUACAGGGUGACAGCCCCGUACACAAAAAUGCACAUGCUGUGAGCUCGAUGAGUAGGGCGGGACACGUGGUAUCCUGUCUGAAUAUGGGGGGACCAUCCUCCAAGGCUAAAUACUCCUGACUGACCGAUAGUGAACCAGUACCGUGAGGGAAAGGCGAAAAGAACCCCGGCGAGGGGAGUGAAAAAGAACCUGAAACCGUGUACGUACAAGCAGUGGGAGCACGCUUAGGCGUGUGACUGCGUACCUUUUGUAUAAUGGGUCAGCGACUUAUAUUCUGUAGCAAGGUUAACCGAAUAGGGGAGCCGAAGGGAAACCGAGUCUUAACUGGGCGUUAAGUUGCAGGGUAUAGACCCGAAACCCGGUGAUCUAGCCAUGGGCAGGUUGAAGGUUGGGUAACACUAACUGGAGGACCGAACCGACUAAUGUUGAAAAAUUAGCGGAUGACUUGUGGCUGGGGGUGAAAGGCCAAUCAAACCGGGAGAUAGCUGGUUCUCCCCGAAAGCUAUUUAGGUAGCGCCUCGUGAAUUCAUCUCCGGGGGUAGAGCACUGUUUCGGCAAGGGGGUCAUCCCGACUUACCAACCCGAUGCAAACUGCGAAUACCGGAGAAUGUUAUCACGGGAGACACACGGCGGGUGCUAACGUCCGUCGUGAAGAGGGAAACAACCCAGACCGCCAGCUAAGGUCCCAAAGUCAUGGUUAAGUGGGAAACGAUGUGGGAAGGCCCAGACAGCCAGGAUGUUGGCUUAGAAGCAGCCAUCAUUUAAAGAAAGCGUAAUAGCUCACUGGUCGAGUCGGCCUGCGCGGAAGAUGUAACGGGGCUAAACCAUGCACCGAAGCUGCGGCAGCGACACUAUGUGUUGUUGGGUAGGGGAGCGUUCUGUAAGCCUGUGAAGGUGUACUGUGAGGUAUGCUGGAGGUAUCAGAAGUGCGAAUGCUGACAUAAGUAACGAUAAAGCGGGUGAAAAGCCCGCUCGCCGGAAGACCAAGGGUUCCUGUCCAACGUUAAUCGGGGCAGGGUGAGUCGACCCCUAAGGCGAGGCCGAAAGGCGUAGUCGAUGGGAAACAGGUUAAUAUUCCUGUACUUGGUGUUACUGCGAAGGGGGGACGGAGAAGGCUAUGUUGGCCGGGCGACGGUUGUCCCGGUUUAAGCGUGUAGGCUGGUUUUCCAGGCAAAUCCGGAAAACUAAGGCUGAGGCGUGAUGACGAGGCACUACGGUGCUGAAGCAACAAAUGCCCUGCUUCCAGGAAAAGCCUCUAAGCAUCAGGUAACAUCAAAUCGUACCCCAAACCGACACAGGUGGUCAGGUAGAGAAUACCAAGGCGCUUGAGAGAACUCGGGUGAAGGAACUAGGCAAAAUGGUGCCGUAACUUCGGGAGAAGGCACGCUGAUAUGUAGGUGAAGUCCCUCGCGGAUGGAGCUGAAAUCAGUCGAAGAUACCAGCUGGCUGCAACUGUUUAUUAAAAACACAGCACUGUGCAAACACGAAAGUGGACGUAUACGGUGUGACGCCUGCCCGGUGCCGGAAGGUUAAUUGAUGGGGUCAGCGCAAGCGAAGCUCUUGAUCGAAGCCCCGGUAAACGGCGGCCGUAACUAUAACGGUCCUAAGGUAGCGAAAUUCCUUGUCGGGUAAGUUCCGACCUGCACGAAUGGCGUAAUGAUGGCCAGGCUGUCUCCACCCGAGACUCAGUGAAAUUGAACUCGCUGUGAAGAUGCAGUGUACCCGCGGCAAGACGGAAAGACCCCGUGAACCUUUACUAUAGCUUGACACUGAACAUUGAGCCUUGAUGUGUAGGAUAGGUGGGAGGCUUUGAAGUGUGGACGCCAGUCUGCAUGGAGCCGACCUUGAAAUACCACCCUUUAAUGUUUGAUGUUCUAACGUUGACCCGUAAUCCGGGUUGCGGACAGUGUCUGGUGGGUAGUUUGACUGGGGCGGUCUCCUCCUAAAGAGUAACGGAGGAGCACGAAGGUUGGCUAAUCCUGGUCGGACAUCAGGAGGUUAGUGCAAUGGCAUAAGCCAGCUUGACUGCGAGCGUGACGGCGCGAGCAGGUGCGAAAGCAGGUCAUAGUGAUCCGGUGGUUCUGAAUGGAAGGGCCAUCGCUCAACGGAUAAAAGGUACUCCGGGGAUAACAGGCUGAUACCGCCCAAGAGUUCAUAUCGACGGCGGUGUUUGGCACCUCGAUGUCGGCUCAUCACAUCCUGGGGCUGAAGUAGGUCCCAAGGGUAUGGCUGUUCGCCAUUUAAAGUGGUACGCGAGCUGGGUUUAGAACGUCGUGAGACAGUUCGGUCCCUAUCUGCCGUGGGCGCUGGAGAACUGAGGGGGGCUGCUCCUAGUACGAGAGGACCGGAGUGGACGCAUCACUGGUGUUCGGGUUGUCAUGCCAAUGGCACUGCCCGGUAGCUAAAUGCGGAAGAGAUAAGUGCUGAAAGCAUCUAAGCACGAAACUUGCCCCGAGAUGAGUUCUCCCUGACUCCUUGAGAGUCCUGAAGGAACGUUGAAGACGACGACGUUGAUAGGCCGGGUGUGUAAGCGCAGCGAUGCGUUGAGCUAACCGGUACUAAUGAACCGUGAGGCUUAACCUUACAACGCCGAAGGUGUUU
rnacentral:rRNA from 1 species